rnacentral:rRNA from 1 species
UACGUAGGGUGCAAGCGUUGUCCGGAAUUAUUGGGCGUAAAGAGCUCGUAGGCGGUCUGUCGCGUCUGCUGUGAAAACUCAGGGCUUAACCCUGAGCUUGCAGUGGGUACGGGCAGACUAGAGUGCGGUAGGGGAGACUGGAAUUCCUGGUGUAGCGGUGAAAUGCGCAGAUAUCAGGAGGGAACACCGGUGGGCGAAGGCGGG